rnacentral:rRNA from 2 species
UGGGGAAUAUUGGGCAAUGGGCGAAAGCCUGACCCAGCAACGCCGCGUGAAGGAAGAAGGCUUUCGGGUUGUAAACUUCUUUGACGAGGGAAGAAAAAAAUGACGGUACCUCGAAAACAAGCCACGGCUAACUACGUGCCAGCAGCCGCGGUAAUACGUAGGUGGCAAGCGUUAUCCGGAUUUACUGGGUGUAAAGGGCGCGUAGGCGGGACUGCAAGUCAGAUGUGAAAUGUGGGGGCUUAACCCUCAAGCUGCAUUUGAAACUGUGGUUCUUGAGUAUCGGAGAGGCAGGCGGAAUUCCAAGUGUAGCGGUGAAAUGCGUAGAUAUUUGGAGGAACACCAGUGGCGAAGGCGGCCUGCUGGACGACAACUGACGCUGAGGCGCGAAAGCGUGGGGAGCAAACAGG